UACGAAGGGUGCAAGCGUUAUCCGGAAUUACUGGGCGUAAAGGGCGCGUAGGCGGCUAUAUAAGACAGCUGUGAAAUCCCCGGGCUCAACCUGGGAACUGCGUUUGUGACUGUAUGACUAGAGUACGGUAGAGAGGGGUGGAAUUCCUGGUGUAGCAGUGAAAUGCGUAGAUAUCAGGAGGAACAUCGAUGGCGAAGGCAGCCCCUUGGACCUGUACUGACGCUCAUGCACGAAAGCGUGGGGAGCAAACAGG
rnacentral:rRNA from 1 species